CACGUAGGGCGCAAGUGUUGUCCGGAAUUAUUGGGCGUAAAGAGCUCGUAGGCGGACUGUCACGUCCGCUGUGAAAAGCUAGGGCUUAACCCUGGCCUUGCAGUGGAUACGGGCAGACUAGAGGUAGGUAGGGGAGAAUGGAAUUCCCGGUGUAGCGGUGAAAUGCGCAGAUAUCGGGAGGAACGACCGGUGGCGAAGGCGGUUCUCUGGGCCUUACCUGACGCUGAGGAGCGAAAGCGUGGGGAGCGAACAGG
rnacentral:rRNA from 1 species